rnacentral:rRNA from 1 species
UACGUAGGGGGAUAGCGUUGUCCGGAAUCAUUGGGCGUAAAGCGCGUGUAGGCGGUUCGGUAAGUCCGCUGUGAAAGUCGGGGGCUCAACCCUCGAAUGCCGGUGGAUACUGUCGGACUAGAGUACGGAAGAGGCGAGUGGAAUUCCUGGUGUAGCGGUGAAAUGCGCAGAUAUCAGGAGGAACACCAAUUGCGAAGGCAGCUCGCUGGGACGUUACUGACGCUGAGACGCGAAAGCGUGGGGAGCAAACAGG